UCACCACACCACGAGCGCGAGUUCUCAAUAUGGCGGAUGUGCUCCUGCUGCUGCAUACGAUUAUUGGUACGAUCCACCGGGCCCGUGCAACGCUGGAGCCUAUGAGGUCGUGCUCCUGUGUUCUCGCCUCCUAUUCGAUUUUCUCUCCAGUCAUCAUAUUCGUUCCUAUGCGUUGCUGAUAGGAAAAACAGACUUUUCGUGUUCGUGAUUGCCGGAGCACAUGCAGGAGAGGGCAGAACAGUAGAUUAUUUGUGCCCGCCGUGUAGCAAAGGUUCAGAAUAAACAAUACAGAAGAUUUUUGAUAAUUAAGAGAUUACACACCGCUGUGUCCUUAAUCUGGUCGGAUGUUACUACGAAGCCGCGUGAACCGAGGCAUAGCCCGGAUGGUUGCCGGGUGCUGAUACCUGUGCUACCCGUGAGAUCCUGAGUUCGAGUGCUAGCGCCCGCUCUCUCAUUGUACACACCAAAAUAUCAUCUAUUGAAUUGCUUGGAGGGCUUCUUACCCCCCAAGUCGCAUUUUUCUAUACGAAGCCGCUAUUAGUUGCACUCCCACUUGGAUAUUUCUUAUCAUUUAUUUAUCAUUUGAACUUAUGUGCACUACAUAUAAUUUGUUUGUCCAGAUAGAGAUGAGAGUACAUAGGGUCUUCAGUCUUCACCUCCCUAUGGAUGAACAUUACAGCACGUUGCUGGCUUUAAUAGAUUCGCCUCCUACAUGUAUGAUUUACAGUUUGUUUAUACAUUCAGUUUUACCUAGAUUAACAACGCCGUCCAUCUUGAGCCCCCGGUAGAUGUACUGAUAAGAAAAUUUAUGUAUCACUUCAGUUAUAGAAUCUAUUUAUUUUUUCUUCUAGUUAUGUCUCGUUACUAUUUUUUCAACUUUUGCAGCCAACAGGUAAAUCAAGCUCCUGUUCUGAAGAUAUGUCUAUGAGAAGUAUUUGCUAAAUUAUCAAGUUCUAAAUGACACACUUCUAUUUGGUAUACCUGCAUAUUGUUUACGCUGCAGGAAGACAAGCAGUGUGGUUGCCGGCGGUGCCUGCUACUAGAGCGACAACGCUACAAGUUCUCUCUUAGUUUUAUUUUCCUUCUCUUCUUCCAUUCAUUGUGGUUGAGGUGCUGCAAAUGAGAUGUCUAGAAUGACACAGCAUGCUUUUCAUGUUGUUUACCAUAGUUUUCCAGAAAAGGGGGAAAACACCAGGGCUAAUAUAAGUGGUAUAUUAGCCGUAACACCAAUGACUGUUAAAAUUUUGCACUGUCACCUUAGUUUGGUAACCGUCUGGAUAUUUUAUUCACAUAGAUAUUUUGUUCACAAUAUGUUGCAUACGGAGUAGCAAUUAAAUCCAAUUUCUCAUGUUGUGUGGUACAUCAAGAUAAUAAAUAAUUCAGUAUAUUUUCCACUAAGACAAGCCUAAAUAUAAGUUAAGGCGAAGAGAAAUAUUUUCGCUCUCAUAUACUAUAUCCUGUAACCGACAAGCAGGCUGAGCGUACAAGUUUAUGUGAUUUACAAGUUUUGCAGGACAGAAUAUUUAAUGGUGGGGCCAAGCAGCUACAAGUUUAUGUACUUUACAAGUUUUGCAGGAGAGAAUAUUUAAUGGUGGGAUCAACCAGCUACAUGUUUAUGCUGAGUGCAUGGAGCAAAUUGAAUAAAUUGACUUUGGGAAGGUCGAUUCCAAGCACCAUCAAGGGAGGCAAACGGCACAAUGCACGACAUAGUUAGGGUUUUCUUCUUAAUAAUACAUAAAGUAAUUUUGGAGAUGAACACCCUAUUUUCCUUUUCAGAUACCUCCUGGACGGUGUAACUAUGUCUUAUAUACAAGCAAAAGAUCACCAUGCUAUGCAGCAAGGCGGAGUAAAAUUAUUUAUGUUCCACUA